UAACAUCAUAUAAUCAAUAAUUUUUAUAUAACUUCAAAAUAUCAAACCUUAAUAUAUACAUAACCCAACGAUAUUAUAACGUACAAAGUCAAACACGACCUGGAAAACAGUUUGAAAAUCCAACGUUAUUACUAAAACAAAAGUAUAUGAUACUGUACAAAGUUCAAAAGAAGAUAAUUUCUUUUGACUCAAAAAGAUUCGACGCGCCCAUUCGACCCUCCACGCGUCUCCAACAUCAGUUACCUGAAAAUGUUAAAUAAGGGAUAAGCAUACAAAGUAUACUUAGUGUGGGAUAUCAUGCAAUAAUUGUCCAAAUCCCAUUCUUUUUGCUUCCUUAAAUCUACAUCUCACCCUCUCCCUCACGCUCUGCACACACACCAACACCCAAACACACAUACCUCAAGUCACACACCACCUCAUACGCACCAUCUCCUUUUCCCUUGCCUUCUGCCGCCGCCGCCCGACAGCGGCGCCGCCCGGCGUCUCCCUUCCUCUCCCAGCCUCCUCCUCUCUCUCUCUCUCUCUCUCUCUCCCAGCCUCCUCUCACCCUCUCGACCAGACGGCCAUCGGCGAAGAGCGCCGACGCCGCCCCUGCUCCAGCGAACAGCCCGCCACCACCGCCGUCUCCCUGAUCCGGCGAGCAGCCAGCCGUCGCCUCCAGCCCGACGCCGCCUGCUUCUCCACACCUUCGCCGUUCCGACACCCACUCCCCUGUCUAUUCUAAGCCUCAACCCACUUCAUCUUCUUCUAUUUUCCAUUUCUAAAUUUUCUAAUUUCUUUACUGGAAAAGUAGCAGAAUUUUACUCUCUAUGUUUUCUCAUGAAUUAGAUGAAUGAUUUAGGAAAAUUGUUUGGUUAAAAGCAUGUGUAGACUGAAUUUGAUUCAAGAAUAGAAAUUAUUUUGGAAAAAAGCUUGUUGUGUUUCUGCACAAUAUAAAAGAGGAGAAAAAUAGAAUUGCUUGAUGUUUUAAAAUCACCGAAAAUAAAUUUUACCAAACCGAAGGGCUAUGGAAGAAGAUGUCCAAAGAAACGUUCUGUGCAGGUUGAGAUCUUUCUUUUACAGAAUUUCCAGAGAUGAAAAAUGACGAAGGCUGAUGGAGAUGAGGUAAUUUCAAUGAGAUAAGAAUUGGAGUGAUACGUGGCUGAAAAAUGGUGAAGUAAGAUCAGGUGGCUAUUGGAAUUGAACGGCACGUCAAACUACAUCUCAGAAUUAAAAUAANAAAAACAUUCAUUCACAAAAUGUAUACAUAGGCUGGAUUAAAUAGAUACGAGCUCUUGGCCCAAAAAUAUAGAGA
rnacentral:lncRNA from 1 species